AUUGAACGCUGGCGGCAGGCCUAACACAUGCAAGUCGAGCGAGCGGCGGACGGGUGAGUAAUGUAUGGGGAUCUGCCUGAUGGAGGGGGAUAACUACUGGAAACGGUGGCUAAUACCGCAUACUAUAGGAUGAGCCCAGAUGGGAUUAGCUAGUGGGUGGGGUAAAGGCUCACCUAGGCGACGAUCUCUAGCUGGUCUGAGAGGAUGAACAGCCACACUGGAACUGAGACACGGCCCAGACUCCUACGGGAGGCAGCAGUGGGGAAUAUUGCACAAUGGGCGCAAGCCUGAUGCAGCCAUGCCGCGUGUAUGAAGAAGGCCUUAGGGUUGUAAAGUACUUUCAGCGGGGAGGCGUUACCCGCAGAAGAAGCACCGGCUAACUCCGUGCCAGCAGCCGCGGUAAUAC
rnacentral:rRNA from 1 species